GAUGAAGAACGUAGUGAAAUGCGAUAAGUAAUGUGAAUUGCAGAAUUCAGUGAAUCAUCGAAUCUUUGAACGCACAUUGCGCCCCUUGGUAUUCCGAGGGGCAUGCCUGUUCGAGCGUCAUUAUAACCCCUCAAGCUCAGCUUGGUGUUGGGGCCUGCUGCACUGGCAGCCCUUAAAAUCAGUGGCGGCGCCAUCUGGCUCUAAGCGUAGUAAUUCUUCUCGCUAUGGAGUCCUGGUGGAUGCUUGCCAUCAACCCCCAAUUUUUCUAUGGUUGACCUCGGAUCAGGUAGGGAUACCCGCUGAACUUAAGCAUAUUAAUAAGCGGAGGA
rnacentral:misc_RNA from 1 species